rnacentral:lncRNA from 1 species
AAAUUUUGAUCCAAUAUUCCAAACAUGCUAAGCAGCACGCCUCUCCCAUUAUCUCUCAUUCACUUCAUCUUCUUGCUUCUCUCUCUAACUCUUACCUCGGCCGGUUGCCCCCAAAAAUGCGGGAAAUUGCAGUUCUCGUAUCCAUUCGGAGUGGGGCCAAAAUGCUCCAUGGAUCCAUCUUUCAACAUCAUAUGCAAGAAAACCAGAAACCAUUCAACACCUUACCUCAACAUAACCAACGGUAACAAAGUGCGCAUGCUCGAAAUCGUGGAAAUAAAACAGACUCAGAUACGGGUCAAGUACCCCUACCUCUUGGCUGCAACAUGCUACACUAACACGUCCGUCUACCCGCAUAACAACACACGUGACGGUUUCUACUCCAUCGACUUGACGGAUACUCAAUACUCCAUGUCGGAUAAGAACUGGCUCACUGCCAUCGGCUGCGAAGACAUCGUUGCCGGAUUCGGAGAGAACAAGAAUGUCUUCGCUGGCGGCUGCGUUUCGUACUGCCCCACGAGUGAGCCUCACGGGUUUGGGAGUUGCCCGAAUACUGAAAAUGGGUAUUCGGCGGGCAACGGUUGUUGCCGGACACCC